GCCUCCAGGUGUACCUGGGAACAAUGCGCCCUCCGGCUCCCACCUCCUCCACCUCCACCACCACCACCACCACUACACAUUCCAGCAUUCCUGGACCCUCAAUAAGAAAGCUAAGUCAAUAGGCUGCAGGGAAGAGGGCUUUGGCUAAGUCACCUCCAGGGAUGGUUAAAUUUAGGCAUUGCUAGUGGAGGUUAAGGAUAAUCUAUGGCAGGGAGGGUUAGGGCUAAGCUGUGGAGGAGUUUUUGGGGUUAGGCUGCAGAAAAGGUGGGUUAAAGGUAGGGGGUAUGGUAAGUACUGUAUACUGUGUUAUGCUUUACUACCCCAAAAGUUACUGCCGGACCUGCUGUUUUUGCUAAGUACAGGGAACAAUGUGUUUGAUUACUGUGGGGGGGCCAAUGUGCUUUAUUCCUGUGGGGGUGAAUGUUUCUGUUUGAUCACUGCUGGGGACAGUGUUAAUGCUGUGGGCAAUGGGGGUCAUUCCGAGUUGAUUGACAGCUAAAAAUGUUCGCUGUGCAGCGAUUAAGUGAAAAAAUGGCACUUCUGGGCAUGCGUAUGCGGCGCAAUGCGCACGCGAAGUACUUUCACAACGGGCGAUAUAGUUUCACACAGGUUCUAGCGAAGCUUUUCAGUCGCAAUGGCGGCCGCAGAGUGAUUGACAGGAAAGGGGCGUUUCUGGGUGUCAAAUCACCGCUUUCAGGGAGUGUUCGGAAAAAUGCAGGCGUGGCUGGGAGAACGCAGGGCGUGUUUGUGACGUCAAAUCCGGAACUGAAUGGUUUGAAGUGAUCGCAAGCGCUGAGUAGAUCUGGAGCUACUGUACUCUGAAACUGCACCAUUUUUUUUUGCUGUUGCACUGCGAUGCAUUCGUUCAUACUUCUGCUAAGCUAAGAUACGAUACACUCCCAAUGGGCGGCGGCUUAACGUUUGCAUGGCUGAUAAAACCUGCUAGCGAGCGAACAACUCAGAAUGACCCCCAAUGUGUUUGAUACAGUAACUACUGUACAUGGGCCAAUGUGUUUAAUUAAUUUUCCACAUUGACAGGACUCCAGGCGGACCAGGGCCAACCGCGCCUUCCAGUUCCCACCUUCACCACCAGCACCAGCACCACCAGACCAGCGUCCAUCGCUGGACCCUCAGCCUCCGGGCGGACCAGGGCCCACUGUGCCCUCCGGCUCCCACCUCCACCUCCACCACCACCACCACCCAACCAGGACCAGAACAGAGGGGCUAUGGGCCGGACAAUCUUUCGAGGGAGCAAGUCCAGCAAUUGACUCUGAUCCUGUGGGCGGUUGAAAUUAUUUUGCAGCACAUUUAAUUUUUGUUUAUUUCUUUCGUGU